ensembl:lncRNA
UUUGAAACAGCCAUCAUGAGUAUAUAUAUUUAAGAGUGCAAUCAGUUUAUUCAAGUGGCAAUAUUAGGAACAUACUUUCUGAUAAUACAGAAAGAAGAAAACCUUUAGAGAGUUCAAACUUGUCUAUUUUACAUGCCUAGAAUUGGAUACUGGCACCUAAACCACUGUGUGGAUUCACUUUUUAAAGCCUGUUCACAUACAUGUGCACAAAUUGAAACCUACAGGGACUGUAAGCUCAUAGUUGCAGAACACAAAGAAAACAUUGUCUUGUGAGCAGCAUGCUGAGAAAUACUUGAAGGCUAAGCAAAUCUCACCCAAACUGCACAAAAGAUUAUAAUUCUAUCUAACCAGGCAUUCAUUAUUAUCUAAGUUUAUUAAAAAAAUUUGCGAGUGUAUUCCAGUUCCAUGGGAGUUUAUAGGCUUAUGUGAAUUGAUGUAAUAUUCCUACAAUCUAUUUGAACAGAGAGAAAGUUAUGGCAAGCAAGAAAGUGAGUUCAUUAAACUUAUCCAACAUUGAGAUACCAGCCUCAGAUCUAUGUGGGUUACUUAGAAAAAUACCAUUAAUCUUUUUAUAAUAUAAUCAUAUUAAAAUCAUAUCCACACAAAGUGUUCACAUAAGGAGCAAAUUAAUACCUUCAUCAACAUAAAACUCUCAUGAGACUCCACUUGGAGUACUGUGUGCUGUUCUGAUGUCCUCAAUUUAAGAGGGACAUGGAGCUGUUGGAGCAAGUCCAGAGGAGGCCAUGAGGGUGAUAAGGAGGCUGAAGCAUCUCCCAUACGAAGACAGGCUGAGAAUAUUUGGGCUGUUCAGCCUGGAGAAGUUGUGUGGAGACCUCAUAGCAGCCUUCCAGUAUCUGAAAGGGGCCUACGAGGAUGCUGGGGAGGGACUCUUCAUUAGGGACUGUUGCGAUAGGACAAGGGGUAACAGGUUUAAACUUAAACAGGGGAAGUUCAGGUUAGAUAUAAGGAAGAAGUUCUUUACUAUGAGGGUGGUGAGGCACUGGAACAGGUUGCCCGAAGUAGUGAUGAAUGCUCCAUCCCUGGCAGUGUUUAAGGCCAGGUUGGACAGAGCCUUGGGCAACAUAGUCUAGGGUGAGUCGUCCCUGCCCAUGGCAGGGGAGUUGGAACUAGAUGAUCUUAAGGUGCUUUCCAACCCAAACCAUUCUAUGAUUCUAUGAAAACCCUUGAGGCAGUCUAAAGUAAAUUAUUAUCUACAGGAUUUUCUUUCUUAAGAAAGAAAAAAGGUUAUGCUUGGUGAAACAUUCAUUGCAAUAUUGUUUGCGUACCUCCCUUGUACAUCUUCUGAAUAGACUCAGAAGUUUAAAACAUUAGUUAUAAAUUAAAGGGGGGAGGGGAGGAAAAACAAGCAGUUGAGGGAAAAAAUUCUGGCACAUCUAACUGGCACAAGCAUGAAACACUGGCUCUUUAGAAAUAUUUGGAAGUUUUGGCUUUUAUUUCAAAAGGACUAACGUUAUACUAUAAAUUAAUUGGCUACUUUCGUCCCCCCCAUCCCUGCUCCAUACAAGACAGUACAAUCCACUGCAAAGUCCAACAGGCAGUCUAGUAUUUUUCCCAAGGCACAUGGUUUGCAUCUUUACUAAAGAUUAGUCUCACCUUCAUACUGAAAGAUUAGUGAUGUCCUGUCAGAAUUUGUCCUCUUUCUAAACCUGCAAUUUUUAAAGAGAAAUCAGGUAUAGAACAAGUUUCCUUUUUUACCAGGCUACUUCAGAUAUACCUCUUACUCCAUGUAAGACCAAGAAAGAAAAAA